rnacentral:tRNA from 1 species
GUCCUCGUGGACCAGCCCGGAGUGCUCGUCUGCCUGUCACGCAGAAGGUCGUGGGUUCAAAUCCCAUCGAGGACG